rnacentral:rRNA from 1 species
AAGGAGUGCCUUCGGGAGCGUUGAGACAGGUGGUGCAUGGUUUGUCGUCAGCUCGUGUCGUGAGAUGUUGGGUUAAGUCCCGCAACGAGCGCAACCCUUGCUAUUAGUUGCUAACAGGUUAAGCUGAGCACUCUAAUGGGACUGCCGGUGACAAGCCGGAGGAAGGUGGGGAUGACGUCAAAUCAUCAUGCCCUUUAUGACCUGGGCUACACACGUGCUACAAUGGAUGGUACAGAGAGCAGCGAGGCAGCGAUGUGGAGCGAAUCUCAAAAAGCCAUUCUCAGUUCGGAUUGGAGUCUGCAACUCGACUCCAUGAAGUCGGAAUCGCUAGUAAUCGCGAACCAGCAUGUCGCGGUGAAUGCGUUCCCGGGCCUU